UAUGGCAAAGAUAGUUGCAAAGAUAUAUACCUCAAUAACCCCACAUUGGAUGAGACAAGAAUUAUGAUCAAAUAUAUAUUUAAGGACCAUAAACUCUAAUACUACUAACUAGCAAGGCUUAACUAUUUUGGGCUUGUCGUUUAGGCUCAACGAGUUAUUAGUGUUAGUGAAAUAUAUUGUUACAGUAAUAGUGCAAUGCGCUAUGAAUCAGUUAUGAUAUAAUCAGUAUACUUUUGUAUGGACUGAUAAGUCUCG
rnacentral:lncRNA from 1 species